rnacentral:rRNA from 1 species
CGGGACGGGGGUGAGUAAUGUCUGGGAAACGUGCCUGAUGGAGGGGGAUAACUACUGGAAACGGUAGCUAAUACCGCAUAACGUCGCAAGACCAAAGAGGGGGACCUUAGGGCCUCUUGCCAUCGGAUGUGCCCAGAUGGGAUUAGCUAGUAGGUGGGGUAACGGCUCACCUAGGCGACGAUCCCUAGCUGGUCUGAGAGGAUGACCAGCCACACUGGAACUGAGACACGGUCCAG